rnacentral:rRNA from 1 species
GACGAACGCUGGCGGUGUGCUUCACACAUGCAAGUCGAACGAGGUAGCAAUACCUAGUGGCGGACGGGUGAGUAACGCGUGGGAAUCUGCCUUUAGAUGGGGGAUAACGGGUCGAAAGACUCGCUAAUACCGCAUAUGACGAAAGUUGAAAGGAGUAAUCCGUCUAAAGAUGAGCCCGCGUCCGAUUAGCUAGUUGGUAGAGUAAAAGCCUACCAAGGCGACGAUCGGUAGCUGGUCUGAGAGGAUGAUCAGCCACAAUGGGAACUAGAGACACGGCCCAUACUCCUACGGAGGCAGCAGUGGGGAAUUUUACGGCAAUGGGCGAAAGCCUGACGUAGCGACACCGCGUGAGCGAAGAAGCCC